rnacentral:rRNA from 1 species
AUGUAUCAGUCAGCAAUGACCUGAACAAGGUGCUGCAUGGCUGUCGUCAGCUCGUGCCGUGAGGUGUUGGGUUAAGUCCGCAACGAGCGCAACCCCUCGUUAUCAGUUGCCAUCGGGUAGAGCCGGGGACUCUGAUAAGACUGCCUGCGCAAGCAGAGAGGAAGGAGGAGACGACGUCAAGUCAUCAUGGCCCUUACGCCCAGGGCGACACACGUGCUACAAUGGCGCAUACAGCGGGUAGCUACCUGGCAACAGGAUGCCAACCUCUAAAAGUGCGUCUCAGUUCGGAUUGGGGUCUGCAACCCGACCCCAUGAAGCUGGAAUCGCUAGUAAUCGCGCAUCAGCCAUGGCGCGGUGAAUACGUUCCCGGACCUU